rnacentral:rRNA from 1 species
UACGGAGGGUGCGAGCGUUGUCCGGAUUUACUGGGCGUAAAGCGUGCGCAGGCGGUUUUGUAAGCCAGAUGUGAAAUCCCCCGGGCUUAACCUGGGAAUGGCAUUUGGGACUGCAAGGCUGGAGUACGGCAGAGGAGACUGGAAUUCCUGGUGUAGCAGUGAAAUGCGUAGAGAUCAGGAGGAAUACCGAUGGCGAAGGCAGGUCUCUGGGCUGAUACUGACGCUCAUGCACGAAAGCGUGGGGGAGCAAACAGG